UGCCACUUCAUCUCCCUCGCUUUCAGACGUUUUGAAGAAAACCUCCGCUCAGAAUAGUCGUACAAAUAUAAUAUUAUUCUUUCUCUCUCUACAUUUCUCUCUCUCUCUCUCUCUGCCUCAUCAGAUUCAGCACUCAGCAGCUUGGCCAAUUAGGAUCAGUCGGCAUCUUCGCCGGAGACUAAACAGUGGUACUGUUCGUCCGCCGGCACCACCAGGUCCGCCAUCAAAGUAUAGAUCUCCGGGGCCAUGAGCCGCCGCCACCGGCAACCACCCUCCGGCUCAGCCCCACGACCCAAUCCCUCCCCCUUACAAGAAGAAGCAGAAAAAGAAGAGGCCUACAAUAUCAUCCCAGUUCACAAUCUCCUCGCUGACCACCCGUCCCUCCGCUUCCCUGAGGUACGCGCCGCCGCGGCAGCCUUACGCACCGUCGGCAACCUCCCCAAACCCCACUUCUCGGAAUGGCUCCCCCACAUGGACCUUCUCGACUGGCUAGCGGCCUCCUUCGGGUUUCAGGCCGACAACGUCCGCAACCAGCGGGAGCACCUUGUCCUCCACCUCGCCAACGCACAGAUGCGCUUGCAGCCCCCUCCGGACAAUAUUGACUCACUGGACCUCACCGUUCUCCGCCGUUUCCGCAAGAAGCUCCUCAGGAACUACACCUCCUGGUGCUCCUACCUCGGCCGCAAGUCCAACGUUUGGAUCUCCGAUCGCCGCGAGGCCGCCAAUGACGCGCGCCGGGAGCUGCUUUACACGGCGCUAUAUCUCCUCAUAUGGGGUGAGUCCGCAAAUCUCAGAUUCGUACCCGAAUGCAUAUGUUACAUUUUUCAUCAUAUGGCGAUGGAAUUGAAUAGGAUUCUUGAGGAUUAUAUUGAUGAGAACACGGGGCGCCCUGUGCUCCCCUCUAUCUCUGGCGAAAACGCAUUCCUGAACCGCGUCGUAACGCCCAUUUACGAGACGAUUAGCGCCGAGGUCGAGGGAAGCAGGAACGGGACCGCCCCGCAUUCUGCCUGGAGGAAUUAUGAUGACAUAAAUGAGUAUUUUUGGACUCGCCGGUGUUUUGACAAGCUCAAGUGGCCAAUUGAUGUUGGAAGCAAUUUUUUUGUGACAUCCAGUAGGAGCAAGCGUGUGGGUAAGACUGGCUUUGUGGAGCAGAGGUCGUUUUGGAACUUGUUUCGGAGUUUUGAUAGGCUGUGGGUUAUGUUGAUUUUGUUUCUUCAGGCAGCGAUCAUUGUUGCUUGGGAGGGUAAUGACUACCCGUGGGACGCAUUGCGGAAUCGUGAGGUUCAGGCUCGGGUUCUCUCUGUGUUUUUGACCUGGAGUGUUUUGAGGUUCCUCCAAUCCCUUCUUGAUGCGGGUAUGCAGUACAGCUUGGUUUCAAGGGAGACUUUGGGGCUUGGAGUGAGGAUGGUUCUGAAGAGCAUAGUUGCUGCAGGGUGGAUUAUUGUGUUUGGGGUUUUGUAUGGGAGGAUUUGGUCACAGAGAAACAGUAACCGAAGGUGGUCUGGGGAGGCAAAUCGUCGGAUGGUGAUUUUUCUUGAGGCUGCAUUAGCUUUUGUUCUCCCAGAGCUUUUGGCGCUGGCUCUCUUUGUUCUUCCCUGGAUUCGGAAUUUCCUAGAGGAAACAAAUUGGAGGAUCUUCUACAUGUUGUCAUGGUGGUUUCAGAGCCGAACUUUUGUGGGACGUGGUUUAAGAGAAGGUCUUCUGGACAAUAUAAAGUACACAGUGUUCUGGGUGCUGGUCCUUGGUACAAAAUUUGUAUUUAGUUACUUCUUACAAAUCAAACCCAUGAUUGCCCCAACGAAAGCCCUUUUGGAUCUUAAAGAUGUGAAUUAUGAAUGGCAUCAGUUCUUUGACAACAGCAACAGAUUUUCUGUUGGGCUAUUGUGGCUUCCUGUCAUUUUGAUUUACCUCAUGGAUUUGCAGAUUUGGUAUUCCAUAUACUCGUCUUUUUUUGGUGCUGCAGUUGGGUUGUUCGCACAUUUGGGUGAGAUUCGAAACAUACAACAGUUGAGGUUGAGAUUCCAGUUCUUUGCAAGUGCGAUUCAGUUUAAUCUCAUGCCUGAGGAACAGUUACUAAAUGUGAGGGGAACACUGAGGAACAAGUUUAAUGAUGCCAUCCACCGAUUGAAAUUAAGGUAUGGGCUUGGCCGGCCUUAUAAGAAGCUCGAAUCAAACCAGGAGGCAAACAAGUUUGCUUUGAUCUGGAAUGAAAUAAUUUCCACAUUCCGGGAAGAAGAUAUUAUUAGUGAUCGUGAGGUUGAAUUGCUGGAGUUACCUCAAAAUUCGUGGAAUGUUAGGGUUAUUCGCUGGCCAUGUUUGCUACUGUGCAAUGAGCUGCUACUUGCUCUAAGCCAAGCUAAAGAGUUGGUGGAUGCACCUGACAAGUGGCUCUGGUAUAAGAUUUGCAAGAAUGAGUACAGGCGUUGUGCUGUCAUAGAAGCGUAUGACUGUGUCAAGCACUUGCUGCUUGAUAUUGUUAAACGUGGCUCUGAAGAGCAUUCCAUUGUUACUGUCUUGUUUCAAGAAAUUGACCACUCUCUUCAGAUUGAGAAGUUCACUAAAACGUUUAACAUGACUGCACUGCCGCAGAUCCAUGCCAAGUUGAUAAUUCUUGUUGAGCCGUUGAACAAGCCCAAGAAAGAUACUAACAAGGUGGUGAAUGUCUUACAGGCACUUUAUGAGAUAGUAAUUCGUGAUUUUUUUAAGGACAAAAGAAGCAUUGAACAGCUGAGAGAGGAUGGUUUGGCUCCUCAGAGGUCAGUGUCCAGUUCAGGGCUGCUCUUUGAAAGUGCUGUAGUGUUGCCGGAUCCUGAUAAUGAGAUUUUCUAUAGGCAGGUUAGACGCUUGCACACAGUUCUUACAUCUCGGGAUUCAAUGCACAAUAUCCCAACAAAUCUUGAGGCCAGACGUCGAAUUGCCUUCUUUAGCAACUCACUGUUUAUGAACAUGCCUCAUGCUCCCCAGGUUGAGAAAAUGAUGGCCUUCAGUGUUCUAACACCGUAUUACAACGAAGAAGUUUUAUAUAGCAAGGAACAACUUCGAACUGAGAAUGAAGAUGGGAUAUCCAUCCUAUACUAUUUGCAGACAAUUUAUGAUGAUGAGUGGAAGAAUUUCUUGGAGCGGAUGCGCCGAGAAGGAAUGACAAAUGAUAAUGAAAUAUGGACAGAAAAGCUGAGAGAUCUACGUCUCUGGGCAUCUUAUAGAGGUCAGACACUUGGACGCACUGUAAGGGGAAUGAUGUAUUACUAUCGGGCUCUCAGGAUGCUUGCUUUUCUUGAUUCUGCAUCUGAGAUGGACAUUAGGGAAGGAUCUCGAGAACUCAGUUCAAUGAGGCCAAGCAGCAGCUUGGAUGGUAUGGGCUCACAAAGAUCAGCUUCUUCAAGGAGUUUAAGUAGAGCCAAUAGUUCAGUGAGUUUGUUAUUCAAAGGCCAUGAGCAUGGGACUGCCUUGAUGAAAUAUACGUAUGUGGUUGCCUGCCAGAUAUAUGGAACUCAAAAAGCAAAAAAAGAUCCCCAUGCUGAUGAUAUUUUGUACCUAAUGGAAAAUAAUGAAGCCCUUCGAGUAGCUUAUGUUGACGAGGUUACUGCUGGUAGGGAUGAGAAGGGGUAUUACUCUGUUCUUGUGAAGUAUGACCAAAAGUUGAAGAAGGAAGUGGAGAUCUAUAGAAUUAAAUUGCCUGGUCCCUUGAAGCUUGGAGAGGGAAAACCAGAGAAUCAGAAUCAUGCCCUCAUAUUUACUCGGGGGGAUGCUGUUCAGACUAUUGAUAUGAACCAAGAUAACUAUUUCGAAGAGGCACUGAAAAUGCGGAAUCUUUUGGAGGAAUACAAAACAUAUUAUGGUAUCAGGAAGCCUACUAUUUUAGGAGUUCGUGAACACAUUUUUACUGGUUCUGUCUCAUCACUGGCUUGGUUUAUGUCAGCUCAGGAGACAAGUUUUGUCACCUUGGGACAGCGCGUAUUGGCAAACCCUUUAAAAGUUCGAAUGCAUUACGGCCAUCCAGAUGUGUUUGAUAGGUUUUGGUUUUUGACUCGUGGUGGAAUUAGCAAAGCUUCUAGAGUGAUUAACAUAAGUGAGGACAUUUUUGCUGGCUUCAAUUGCACAUUGCGUGGUGGCAAUGUUACACACCAUGAGUACAUCCAAGUUGGCAAAGGAAGAGAUGUCGGACUGAAUCAAAUAUCCAUGUUUGAAGCGAAAGUUGCUAGUGGAAAUGGUGAACAAAUCCUCAGCAGAGAUAUUUAUAGGCUGGGUCAUAGACUGGACUUCUUCCGUAUGCUAUCAUUCUUCUAUACAACUGUCGGAUUCUUUUUCAACACGAUGAUGGUUGUCCUGACAGUCUAUGCAUUUCUAUGGGGCCGGCUUUACCUGGCUCUUAGUGGAGUUGAAGGUUCUGCUCUGGCUAAUGAUAGCAAUAAUAACAAAGCACUUGGUACAAUUUUGAAUCAGCAGUUCAUCAUCCAGCUUGGUUUGUUCACAGCACUUCCAAUGAUUGUGGAGAAUUCUCUUGAGCUUGGGUUCCUUGCAGCCAUUUGGGAUUUCUUAACCAUGCAGCUCCAGCUUUCUUCUGUUUUCUACACAUUCUCCAUGGGAACUCGUACCCACUUUUUUGGUCGUACCAUUCUUCAUGGUGGGGCGAAGUACCGGGCAACUGGUCGUGGUUUUGUCGUGCAGCACAAGAGCUUUGCUGAAAACUAUAGACUCUAUGCUCGUAGCCAUUUUGUGAAGGCGAUUGAACUUGGGCUUAUACUUACUGUUUAUGCUUCACACAGCCCCAUAGCUACCAACACUUUUGUUUACAUAGCUAUGACAAUCUCAAGUUGGUUUCUUGUAUUUUCUUGGAUCAUGGCCCCUUUUGUAUUCAAUCCUUCAGGCUUUGAUUGGUUGAAAACUGUUAAUGACUUUGAUGAUUUUAUGAACUGGAUUUGGUACCGUGGCAGUGUGUUUGCAAAAGCUGAACAGAGCUGGGAAAGGUGGUGGUAUGAGGAGCAGGAUCAUCUGAGGACAACUGGCCUUUGGGGGAAGUUGUUGGAGAUAAUUCUAGAUCUCCGUUUCUUCUUAUUUCAGUAUGGGAUUGUAUACCAGUUGGGUAUUGCUGCUGGAAGCACCAGCAUCGCUGUUUAUUUGCUAUCAUGGAUCUAUAUGAUUGUGGCUAUUGGGAUUUAUGUACUGGUUGCAUAUGCCCGAGACAAAUAUGCUGCAAAAGAUCACAUUUACUAUCGGCUAGUUCAGUUCCUUGUGAUUAUUCUUGUGAUACUUGUGAUCAUUGCCUUGCUACAAUUCACUGAUUUCAAAUUUAUGGAUAUUUUCACAAGUCUGCUGGCAUUCAUCCCCACAGGGUGGGCCCUGAUUUCCAUUGCGCAAGUGUUGAGGCCCUUUUUGCAGUCCACCAUGCUUUGGGACACUAUUAUUUCCAUGGCUCGGUUGUAUGACAUAAUGUUUGGAGUGAUUGUUAUGGCUCCCGUUGCACUACUAUCAUGGAUGCCUGGGUUCCAGUCGAUGCAGACAAGGAUCCUGUUUAAUGAAGCAUUCAGUAGGGGACUCCGGAUAUUCCAGAUUGUGACAGGGAAGAAAAGUUUUGACUUGUAAUUCGAGCUUUGAAUUCUGAAGUCAGUUUGAAAUGAAGUUCUCAAAUGAAUCAUCUGAUGGCUUGAAUUUGGCCGGAGGUGUAGAAAACAAUAGAGGCAGAAGAUUAGAUUUAUUUCUCAUUUGUGGAGAGUUGUGUGUGUAUGUUAAUCGAGUGGCGACUGCCAUUCACUGCAUUUCAACUGUGGGAAGGGAGGUCGAUUCAGUCUGGGUUGUGCGGCCCGUAGGCGGGACUUAAUCUGGUCGGCCCUUCAGAUAAGUCAAUAUACUCUACACUAUCUUAGCCCGACCAAUAUACAUACUUUCCUAGGGGCAGGACUGGCUGCUACCUCAUCAAACUGGCCCCCUCAACCCAGCGAACUGGGGAGCUGCAUACUCUCUGAGCACAGUUUGAUGGUACCAACGCACUAUCUAAGAUAUGUGGUUGCACUCUAUUUGUAUAUAGCAACGGUACCGUGCUCUGUAUUCUUUAUCUGUAUCUGUCUAUAAUCAUUCCUCAAGGAUCUGAUAUUGUAUAUAUAUACAUACUCUUUUAUUGUUUUCAUCAUGUUUCCAAAAUUACCAUAACGCUAUCAUUCUGUACUGUAAAUACUGUAAUCUCUGUAUCAUAUAUCUGUAGGAUCUUGAUGCUA